CGGAGGGGGCAAGCGUUGUUCGGAAUCAUUGGGCGUAAAGGGCGCGUAGGCGGCCUGUCAAGUCGGGUGUGAAAUCCCUCGGCUCAACCGAGGAACCGCACUCGAUACUGUCGGGCUAGAGUCCGGGAGGGGAUGGUGGAAUUCCCAGUGUAGCGGUGAAAUGCGUAGAUAUUGGGAAGAACACCGGUGGCGAAGGCGGCCAUCUGGACCGGAACUGACGCUGAGGCGCGAAAGCUAGGGGAGCGAAUGGGAUUAGAUACCCCGGUAGUCCUAGCCGUAAACGAUGGGCACUUGAUGUGGCAGGUUCUGACCCCUGCCGUGUCGAAGCUAACGCGUUAAGUGCCCCGCCUGGGGAGUACGGUCGCAAGGCUG
rnacentral:rRNA from 1 species